UAGGGAAUCUUCGGCAACGGGGGGAACCCUGACCGAGCAACGCUGCGUGAGUGAAGAAGGUUUUCGGAUCGUAAAGCUCUGUUGUUAAGGAAGAACGAGUGUGAGAAUGGAAAGUUCAUGCUGUGACGGUACUUAACCAGAAAGGGACGGCUAACUACGUGCCAGCAGCCGCGGUAAUACGUAGGUCCCGAGCGUUGUCCGGAUUUAUUGGGCGUAAAGCGAGCGCAGGCGGUUAGAAAAGUCUGAAGUGAAAGGCAGUGGCUCAACCAUUGUAGGCUUUGGAAACUGUUUAACUUGAGUGCAGAAGGGGAGAGUGGAAUUCCAUGUGUAGCGGUGAGAUGCGUGGGUAUAUGGAGGAACGCCGGUGGCGAAAGCGGCUCUCUGGUCUGUAACUGACGCUGAGGCUCGAAAGCGUGGGGAGCGAACAAG
rnacentral:rRNA from 1 species